rfam:Schistosoma mattheei strain Denwood, Zambia genome assembly, scaffold: SMTD_scaffold0014026
AGCCUUCUGAAUCCGUGCCGGGAUUUCGUCAGACAUCAGACCAUCAGGAAUGAUGAAACUUGCAAGAUAAUGGAGCG